rnacentral:miRNA from 1 species
AAUGCUCCUCAUGAAUAUGA